AGUGUGGGCGUGGCUCAGUCUCUGCAAGAUGGGGGAGGGAGAGGAUCAAGACUGAGCUGGAAAUCUACAGAACACUGAGAAUACUGACGUGGCCACCUGAUCUCUGUCAGCUGCAUAAAUAGUCCCUUUGCUGGUGAAUGCUCACCCCAGCCUGUUGGACAUCUCUGUAGAGAAGCCGACUCGUUUCUGAACAUGUUUCGACUGGUAUUUGUAACAAAUCGAGUUGCCUGUCUUUGGACAUUGGAAGAAAUGUUUCUAUUUGUGUAUGGAUCCCAUGCUGCAACUGCACAGUCCAAAUGUGGUCUAACGAGGGUCGAAGUACAAAGUGAACUUCGGAACACGGCAACUGUUUCAUUCAGCGAGUGUGAAUUUUGUACAACUCAAAAGCAACAUUGUUUAAAGAAUGGCUCACUUUCUUUCUUCUCUGCCAGCGCUAUUGUGCGCGUGUCAAAGGAGCAUCUCUGCCAUCCAUCAGUUUGAUGGCAUCGUCUAGGACUUCCCACAUUGACAAGAUAAGUUGCAGCACUCCCCCCAGACAGGUAUGUAACUGGGGAGAGUGCAACACUGCAGAACAGAGGCCUGAAGAUCACAGAAAAUGUUUGUCCCACAGACAACACACAGGCAUGGCCAUCACCUUUGACAUGAAAUGUUGAAUAGGAGUUUGUUUUCUAAUUUCCAUGGUUCAUUUUUAGGCCACAAAAUGUAAAUACCAGUAAACACACUGCAAUGGUUUCAAAGGAAUAAAAUGCAAAAGAGUCCCAUUAGAAGUACUUCAAGAGUGUUCAUGUCAGAAUCAAUCAGACUUCAGGCCCACUUGAACUGAUCUAAGGAAAAGUGGUUGGAAAAUGAGUUUAGAGUACAAUUACAAAGAGGUGAAAAGUUUAAGAACCAGUGGUUCAGAACCAACUGGCUUGAUGUACUUACAACCGAGGCAUUUUAAGGCAGUUCAAUGAGCUGAAGCACUCCUCCAUUUGUAGGACAAUAAGAUGCUACAUUUUUAGUAAAAUUAGGUAAGAUAAUUGUUUCUCAUUGUAAAUUCUAAACAUAAUACAGCAAAUCGUUUAAAAAUACAUCAUCUUGACUUCAGACUUUAGAGAUACUGUAUGGAAACUGGCCGUUCGGUUCAUCGAGGCUUGGCCGACCAGCGAUCACCCCGUACACUAGCGCUAUCCUACACACUAGGGACAAUUUACAAUUUACAGAAACCAGUUAACCUACAAACCUGAACGUCUUUGGUGUGUGGCAGGAAACCGGAGCACCUGGAGAAAACCCACGUGGUCACACAGAGAACGUACAAACUCCGUACAGACAGCGCCCGUAGUCAGGAUCAAACCGGGAUCUCUGGCGCUGUAAGGCAGCAACUCUACCGCUGCGCCACAGUGCCUUGCCAGUUGCUAACAAUCUAUUCAUACAAAGUAGCCCAGCAUCACUCAGUUCUUUUUGGUUCUGCUCUAUUAUUUUUAAACAUUGACCAUUUUAUAUUUUUAAGUAAAAAUGCGGACCUUUGUUCUGAUAACUCGAUAAUUAUUUCAAGAUCCUUCAUAUCUUAUCUUGAUGGUUUGAGCAAAAUACCAGAUAGACCAGGGGAAAAUGACAAUUUAUAUGGUUAAAGCCCUUUAUUGAUAUGUAAAGUUUGUAUGAUUGAAUGCUGCAGUAUUUUUCAAAACUGAUUACAUAUAAACCUAAAUCUGAAGGGUAAAAUGAGCUCCAUAACAGUAUAUGAUAAUAAAAUGUUAUGAAACUAAUGUAGAGUCUCGUGUAUAGUUCAGCAUUAUUCUCAUUACCAAAGUUACAAUGCCAGAAGGAACUCUGCACAAAUCUUAAAAUUCGUCAUAUUUUAUCAGCAAUGUCAUAACAAUAAUGUAUUGACUGGUAUGAGGAUAGUCAUAGGUAUACGGCAGUGUCAUAUCUUGGAUAAAGAAGUGAAUAUAUUUUGUGGGGAAGCAUUCAACCAUAAUAGAUCCAGAACAAAAUCUGUACUGGAUCCAUUUUGAAUGAGUAACCUAUGCGAUUUGAACUGGUGCAGGACAUUCCUGAAACUGAUGUAUGCACUGCAUCAUAUAACCAGUGCCAACUAAGUAGUGUUGAACUUUGACACAUUUCCAUGUGGUCAUGUUGGGAAUCGCUGGCAUGAGGAGACAGAAAUCAAUUAAAAGUAACGUUUUUUUAUGCCUCCAAGAGUGGCACGAUGGCACAGCGGUAGAGUUGCUGCCUUACAGCGUCAGAGACCCGGGUUCGAUCCUGACUACGAGUGCUGUCUGUACUGAGUUUGGAUGUUCCCCCCGUGAUCAAGUGGGUUUUCUCCGAGAUCUUCGGUUUCCUCCCACUCUCCAAAGACGUACAGGUUAGUAGGUUAAUUGGAUUGGUAUGUGCAAAUUGUCCCUGGAAUGUUGGAUAGUGUCAAAGUGCAGGGAUUGCUGGUCAGUGUGCAUUUGGUGGGCACUGUAUCUCUAAACUAAACUAAACUAAACUGCAACCGGUCAUUCAACUAACCAUAAAGACCAUAUGACAAUAAGCAGAAUUAGGCCAUUUGGCCCAUCGAUUAUGCUCCACCAUUUAAUCAUGGCUGGUCUAUUUUUACCUCUCAACCCCAUUCUCCUGCCUUCUCCCCGUAACCUUUGACGCCCUUAUUAAUCAAGAACCCAUCAAUUUCCGCUUUAAAGAUACCCAAUGACUUGGCUUGCACAGCCAUCUGUGGCAAAGGACUCCACAGAUUCACCACCCUACAUGUUGCGGAUGUGCACUUUGCAGCCACUGUGUACCAAUGGUGAAGGAAAUAAAUGGUGGUUGUUGGGUACCAGUCAAAUGGGAUGCUUUGUCCUGAAUGGUGUUGGACUUCAUGAGAGGUGUUGGAGCUGUAUUCAUCUAGGGAAGUGGACAAUAUUCAAUGAGGCUUCCGAUCUAUGCCUUGUAAGAUGGCAGACAGACCUUGUGGUGUCAGGGGGUGACUCCCUAGCCACUGAAUACAUAGCCUCAAAUUUUCUCUUGUGGACAUGGCUGGUUUAUUUGACUGUCUGGUCAAUGAUGUCUCCCAGGAUAUUGAUGAUGUGGGACACAAUGAUGAUCAUUUCAAUGAAUAUUAAGGGUGGGAGGGUUUGAUUCUUUCAGAUUGGAGAUGGAGAUUGCCUGGUCAUUUAGGUAGUGCAAAUGUUACUUUAAUUUAUCAGGUCAUCAGCUCUUAGACAUGCUGCAAGCAGAUAUGGACUAUAUUAAUUGCUGAAAUGGUUUGGGUUUAGUUUUAGUUUAGCUCAUUUUCAAGUCUACUGAGGUACAGUGAAAAGCUUUUUUUGUGUUUUCAGAAAGACUACACAUGAUUACAAUCGAGCCAUCCACAGUGUACUGAUACAUGAUAAAGGGAAUAAAGUUUAGUGCAAGAUAAAGUCCAGUAAA